UAUAAGAUCAAUAAAAAUACUUUCAUAUAUUUGCAUAAUACGAAAAUUAAUUUUUAAACUCGGUCGAGAAAUUGCAUUAAACCGAGAUUAAACUAUUAAGUAGCUAGAGAAUAUUUAUACUUACCUUGUACCAGCUGCAGGUUCUGCUGUAGGAAAGCAUGCAGUAUUAAUAUUUGGGCUGCUAGAAACAGGUACUGUGCUACUCAAUGUUAUAACAGCAACAUCAUUCUGAAGAUUAUCAGAAUGGAAAUUUGUAUGUAUAACAAUUCUUUGGAUCAUAUAUUCUUGGUAUGGAUCAGGUUCAUUUGUGGACCUACUAUCCCACUCUCCCAAUCUCACUUUAAGUCCACCAUUUCUGUAAAGCAAUUUUUGUAAAAAUUAACUAAGGUAUAAAAUUUUAUGAAAGUAAUUAGACAGUAAUAAAAAAUUAUAAGAUGCUCACAUAUAAGAUGCUACUUUGUGAGCAACAGUAAGUACAUGAUUCGGUGUAAUUAGAACACCAGAGCCUACAUAAACGUUAUUUGUAGUCAAAAGUACAGCUUGCCAAGGAUAUGCCCCAUAACUGGCUUGACCUUGAGGAUGUAGACCUAAUGGAAUUUUUCUGGUGCCACAAGUACCACCAUUUAUAGUAUCCGUUGAUGAACAGCAAUAAACUUGCCCAGCAGAACAAUUAGAAGCCUAAAUAAUUAAAAAAUAUAAUCUUUGUAUGAAAAUUUGAACAUUCUAAAUUAUAUCUACUUCGUUCUUCUACAAUAACAAAAUAUCAACUAUAUUGAGUUAUUUUGAACAUUGUUAUUCUUAAUUAAAUAUAAUUUUAUAUACGUACCGUAUUAACUAUUCGAAUGUCAAUACCCGUAGCCACAGUAGGACAACUACCCACUGAUACACAAGAGCACAUCAUGCCAUUGUUGUUACCUUAAUAAUAAAAUAAAAAGGUUUAUGAAAAAUCAA